rnacentral:rRNA from 1 species
AGAGUUUGAUCAUGGCUCAGAUUGAACGCUGGCGGCAUGCUUUACACAUGCAAGUCGAGCGGCAGCGCGGGGGCAACCCUGGCGGCGAGCGGCGAACGGGUGAGUAAUACAUCGGAACGUGUCCCGUAGUGGGGGAUAGCCCGGCGAAAGCCGGAUUAAUCCGCAUAUGCUCUACGGAGGAAAGCGGGGGAUUCGCAAGAACCUCGCGCUAUGGGACGGCCGAUGUCCGAUUAGCUUGUUGGUGAGGUAAAGGCUCACCAAGGCGACGAUCGGUAGCUGGUCUGAGAGGAUGAUCAGCCACACUGGGACUGAGACACGGCCCAGACUCCUACGGGAGGCAGCAGUGGGGAAUUUUGGACAAUGGGGGCAACCCUGAUCCAGCCAUGCCGCGUGAGUGAAGAAGGCCUUCGGGUUGUAAAGCUCUUUUGGCCGGAAAGAAAAGACCUUGUCUAAUAAACGAGGUUCUUGACGGUACCGGCAGAAUAAGCACCGGCUAACUACGUGCCAGCAGCCGCGGUAAUACGUAGGGUGCGAGCGUUAAUCGGAAUUACUGGGCGUAAAGAGUGCGUAGGCGGUUCUUUGUGUCCGCUGUGAAAUCCCCGGGCUUAACCUGGGAAUGGCAGUGGAAACUAGAGGACUUGAAUCCGGCAGAGGGGGGUGGAAUGCCACGUGUAGCAGUGAAAUGCGUAGAUAUGUGGCGGAACACCGAUGGCGAAGGCACCCCCUGGGCUGAGAUUGACGCUCAGGCACGAAAGCGUGGGGAGCAAACAGGAUUAGAUACCCUAGUAGUCC